UACGUAGGGUGCAAGCGUUGUCCGGAAUUACUGGGCGUAAAGGGUGCGUAGGCGGCUUUCUAAGUUGGAUGUGAAAACUCUGGGCUCAACCCAGAGCCUGCAUCCAAAACUGGAGAGCUAGGGUUCUGGAGGGGAAAGCGGAAUUCCUGGUGUAGCGGUGAAAUGCGUAGAUACCACCAAGAACCCCGAUUGCGUAGGCAGCUCGCUGAGCCGAAACUGACGCUGAGGAGCGAAAGCGUGGGGAGCAAACAGG
rnacentral:rRNA from 1 species